GAGAAAGGGCAUGACCACUCCAAGGUGUGGUUGAGAGGAAGGUUUUUAUUGUAGAUAUGAAGGAGAGCCCAGCCAGAGGCAUCUGAAAAAUUCAGAGAAAGGCAAGAAAGAAGUAGACUAAACAUGGCUGGUAACCUGAACUGGAUCAUGAGAGGAUGUUGUCCGUCUUGAGGUGGGCUGUCGUCAGUCGCGGCGAGGCCGGCGCACCGCAGCCAUGAUAGAGGCUGAUGUGAAUCCAAAGGCCUAUCCCCUCACAGAUGCCCACCUCACCAAGAAGCUGCUGGACCUUGUUCAACAGUCAUGUAACUACAAGCAGCUUCAGAAAGGAGCCAGUGAAGCCAGCAAAACUCUCAACAGAGGCAUCUCUGAGUUCAUUGUGAUGGCAGCAGACGCUGAGCCCUUGGAGAUCAUCCCGCACCUCCCUCUGCUGUGUGAAGACAAGAAUGUUCCCUGCGUAUUUGUGCGCUCCAAGCAGGCUUUAGGACGGGCCUGUGGCAUCUCCAGGCCAGUCAUCGCCUGUUCUGUUACCAUCAAAGAAGGCUCUCACUAAAGCAGCAGAUCCAGUCCAUUCAGCAGUCUAUUGAAUGGCUCUUAGUGUAGGCUGUGGCCUCUGCCCUUUCCUGUCUAUUGCCACCCUGUUUGUGUAUCAUAUUGUCUGUUAGCAUAUACUAUUUUCAGCCAGUUACUAUUAUAUUGUGCUACAUCUGUGUUUUAUAUUUUUAUUUUUGUCUUAAUAAGGUUGUUUUUUCACCAUCUCUUCAUUCUCUUCUACCAUAAAAAAUGAAAUGAAAGCUAGGACAGGUGAAAGGCAGAAUGUCACCAUUUAACAACAGGAAUAACCAGGAGAAACUUAAGCCAGGUACAGUGUAUACUUUCAUCUGCAAGCUUAUUCCACUGCGCAGGGUAGGAUGACAGUAACCCUGGUCCCUUGUGCCUUUGAUAUAAGAUCUCCAUAAAUGUUACCGUCACUGAGGAACUUCCUUUGGGUAGCAGUCUCUCUCACCCCUCAUCAUUUGAAUAAAUUUGAUGUUGGGCCUAUGUCCGGGAGCCAUUUAUUAAUGUCCUGUGUAUCUUUGAUGUAUGUAGCCUGAUAUUAUCUAGGGCAGUAUCAGUUCAAAGGGAUUCUGUGGAGAUCGUGGCAGUUUGCUGGAACUUACAGCAGAGACAGUGCUAGCAGGAAACAUCCUCUCCUUGGUAAAUGGGGAUGUCUUGUGGAACCAUUUGAUGAUCGUGUUGGGAGCCCUUAUCCUGUUCUUCCCACAGUAUGGGUCGGAUGUAUUCUCCCUCACAUGAAGAAAGUAAUAACAUGUUCAUUAUUGAGCAUCCUAGUAAAUAUGUUCAUAUUUCGUUUAAAAAAAAAAAAAAGAAGAACCCAUCUUAUGAACCAAACCAUGUGUGCGCUGGAAAGAGCUUUAAUAUCUUAAGCUUUGUCUACUCACCACUCACUGGGCUGAGUUAACUGUUAUCAGAAAAUAAAUGAACGGAUAGUUUGACUCUCAAAA